AUACGGAGGGUGCAAGCGUUGUUCGGAAUUACUGGGCGUAAAGCGCGCGUAGGCGGUCUGUUAUGUCAGAUGUGAAAGUCCUCGGCUCAACCGGGGAAGUGCAUUUGAAACUGGCAGACUUGAGUACUGGAGGGGGUGGUGGAAUUCCCGGUGUAGAGGUGAAAUUCGUAGAUAUCGGGAGGAAUACCGGUGGCGAAGGCGACCACCUGGCCAGAUACUGACGCUGAGGUGCGAAAGCGUGGGGAGCAAACAGGAUUAGAUACCCCAGUAGUCC
rnacentral:rRNA from 1 species